rnacentral:rRNA from 1 species
AGUGAACGCUGGCGGUAGGCCUAACACAUGCAAGUCGAACGGCAGCACAGUAAGAUCUUGCUCUUACGGGUGGCGAGUGGCGGACGGGUGAGGAAUACAUCGGAAUCUACUUUUUCGUGGGGGAUAACGUAGGGAAACUUACGCUAAUACCGCAUACGACCUACGGGUGAAAGCAGUGGAUCUUCUGACCUUGCGCGAUUGAAUGAGCCGAUGUCGGAUUAGCUAGUUGGCGGGGUAAAGGCCCACCAAGGCGACGAUCCGUAGCUGGUCUGAGAGGAUGAUCAGCCACACUGGAACUGAGACACGGUCCAGACUCCUACGGGAGGCAGCAGUGGGGAAUAUUGGACAAUGGGCGCAAGCCUGAUCCAGCCAUACCGCGUGGGUGAAGAAGGCCUUCGGGUUGUAAAGCCCUUUUGUUGGGAAAGAAAAGCAGCAGGUUAAUACCCCGCUGUUCUGACGGUACCCAAAGAAUAAGCACCGGCUAACUUCGUG